rnacentral:sRNA from 1 species
GACGCGGUCAGCGUGCGGCAGCUGCAACU